rnacentral:rRNA from 1 species
UACGUAGGGGGCAAGCGUUGUCCGGAAUCAUUGGGCGUAAAGAGUGUGUAGGCGGUGCUCUAAGUUCGGUGUGAAAUCUCCCGGCUCAACUGGGAGGGUGCGCCGGAAACUGGGGUGCUGGAGCGCGGGAGAGGAAAGCGGAAUUCCUGGUGUAGCGGUGAAAUGCGUAGAUAUCAGGAGGAACACCGGCGGUGUAGACGGCUUUCUGGACCGUAGCUGACGCUGAGACACGAAAGCGUGGGUAGCAAACAGG